rnacentral:rRNA from 1 species
AGUGAACGCUGGCGGUAGGCCUAACACAUGCAAGUCGAACGGCAGCACAGUAAGAGCUUGCUCUUACGGGUGGCGAGUGGCGGACGGGUGAGGAAUACAUCGGAAUCUACUUUUUCGUGGGGGAUAACGUAGGGAAACUUACGCUAAUAUCGCAUACGACCUACGGGUGAAAGCAGGGGAUCUUCGGACCUUGCGCGAUUGAAUGAGCCGAUGUCGGAUUAGCUAGUUGGCGGGGUAAAGGCCCACCAAGGCGACGAUCCGUAGCUGGUCUGAGAGGAUGAUCAGCCACACUGGAACUGAGACACGGUCCAGACUCCUACGGGAGGCAGCAGUGGGGAAUAUUGGACAAUGGGCGCAAGCCUGAUCCAGCCAUACCGCGUGGGUGAAGAAGGCCUUCGGGUUGUAAAGCCCUUUUGUUGGGAAAGAAAAGCAGCAGGUUAAUACCCCGCUGUUCUGACGGUACCCAAAGAAUAAGCACCGGCUAACUUCGU